rnacentral:rRNA from 1 species
UACAGAGGUCUCAAGCGUUGUUCGGAUUCAUUGGGGCGUAAAGGGUGCGUAGGCGGCGCGGUAAGUCGGGUGUGAAAUCUCGGAGCUUAACUCCGAAACUGCAUUCGAUACUGCCGUGCUUGAGGACUGGAGAGGAGACUGGAAUUUACGGUGUAGCGGUGAAAUGCGUAGAUAUCGUAAGGAAGACCAGUGGCGAAGGCGGGUCUCUGGACAGUUCCUGACGCUGAGGCACGAAGGUCAGGGGAGCAAACGGG